UACGGAGGGUGCAAACGUUGCUCGGAAUCAUUGGGCGUAAAGCGCACGUAGGCGGCCUGUUAAGUCGGAUGUGAAAGCUUCGGGCUCAACCCGGGAAGUGCAUUCGAAACUGGCGGGCUUGAAUAUGGAAGAGGGUCGCGGAAUUCCCGGUGUAGAGGUGAAAUUCGUAGAUAUCGGGAGGAACACCAGUGGCGAAGGCGGCGACCUGGGCCAAUAUUGACGCUGAGGUGCGAAAGCGUGGGGAGCAAACAGG
rnacentral:rRNA from 1 species